AUUGAACGCUGGCGACAUGCCUUACACAUGCAAGUCGAACGGCAGCACGGGUGCUUGCACCUGGUGGCGAGUGGCGAACGGGUGAGUAAUACAUCGGAACAUGUCCUGUAGUGGGGGAUAGCCCGGCGAAAGCCGGAUUAAUACCGCAUACGAUCUACGGACGAAAGCGGGGGACCUUCGGGCCUCGCGCUAUAGGGUUGGCCGAUGGCUGAUUAGCUAGUUGGUGGGGUAAAGGCCUACCAAGGCGACGAUCCGGAGCUGGUCUGAGAGGACGACCAGUCACACUGGGACUGAGACACGGCCCAGACUCCUACGGGAGGCAGCAGUGGGGAAUUUUGGACAAUGGGCGAAAGCCUGAUCCAGCAAUGCCGCGUGUGUGAAGAAGGCCUUCGGGUUGUAAAGCACUUUUGUCCGGAAAGAAAUCCUUGGCCCUAAUACGGUCGGGGGAUGACGGUACCGGAAGAAUAAGCACCGGCUAACUACGUG
rnacentral:rRNA from 1 species